rnacentral:snoRNA from 1 species
CUUCCCAUUGAUUUGUGUGACAGUUUCUCCAUGAUAUGAGCAGUUAUAUGCAUGGGGUAAAACAAUGUGCAUUGAGAUGGAGUAACCAUUUCAUCUCUUUUGCAUGCUCUAGAUAUUG